rnacentral:rRNA from 1 species
AUUGAACGCUGGCGGCAGGCCUAACACAUGCAAGUCGAACGAGUGGCGGACGGGUGAGUAAUGUCUGGGAAACUGCCUGAUGGAGGGGGAUAACUACUGGAACCGGUAGCUAAUACCGCAUACCAUCAGAUGUGCCCAGAUGGGAUUAGCUAGUUGGGGGGGUAACGGCUCACCAGGGCGACGAUCCCUAGCUGGUUUGAGAGGAUGACCAGCAACACGGGAACUGAUACACGGUACAGACUGCAACGGGAGGCAGCAGUGGGGAAUAUUGAACAAUGGGCGCAAGCCUGAUGCAGCCAUGCCGAGUGUAUGAAGAAGGCCUUCGGGUUGUAAAGGUCUUUCAGCGGGGAGGCGUUAACCGCAGAAGAAGCACCGGCUAACGCCGUGCCAGCAGCCGCGGUAAUAC